UUUGUACAGACGAACGCCAAACUCACAUUUCACGCACAGAUCGACGUUAAAAAGGUAAUGUUCUUGUUCCCUACAAGCUCUUGAGUUCCUUCGUACCAUUUUUAGGACUUGAAAACUUGUAAAACCCGAGAAAUCAUCACCCCCGAUUUGAGUAUUGUUCACAUGGUCGUAAUUAUGGAUGUUUCAGGGAAUUUUAAGCUCGUAGGAAGCUUUAGGACGUUCCUACAAAGCUCGGAUGACAAAAACCAUAACAACAAACCAUGUCACAGCCCAUCCUGGAAAAUUUUAUCGAUGGUGUAAAAGGACAGUUUUACCCUUAAACGUGGGUAGCGGUGUGCGUACAUGACUUAGGUUUAGGUCCAAGCUAUUUUCCUAAGUAUGUGGAACUAAUUGGAAUUAAGUUGUUUGGUUGUUUUGGUUGGUUGGAGUGGACAAUUUUGGACCACACACUCCAACUCCCUUUUUCUCUCCUUCCCGUGCAUUCUCUCUCUCCUCCCUCUCGAUUUUCUUCUAUUUCCGUCAACUUUAUACGGACGAACGCCAAACUCACAUUUCAUGCACAGAUCGACGUUAAAAAGGCAAUGUUCUUGUUCCCUACAAGCUCUUGAGUUCCUUCGUACCAUUUUUAGGACUUGAAAACUUGUAAAACCCGAGAAAUCAUCACCCCCGAUUUGAGUACUGUUCACAUGGUCGUAAUUAUGGAUGUUUCAGGGGAUUUUAAGCUCGUAGGAAGCUUUAGGACGUUCCUACGAAGCUCGGAUGACAAAAACCAAGCAAAUUGGACGUCGGGAAGUUGAGUUUGGUGAGUUUGAAAGUUCGCCGGAAUUAUUGUGUCUUCUCCGACGAGAUCCUGUGACUUUUGGAGUUUAAAAUUGGUAAGAAUGUGUUCUAAUCAUUGUAAGCUUUAAAUUGGUUUAUGUUUCAUGAAUUUUGGUUGAGAAAUGGACGAGAAAUGAAGAUUUGAAAAAUUCCCAGUUUUCCGGUGACGGCGACGUCGCCGGAGUUCAAAGGUCGUCGUCGUCGGAGUUCAAAGGUAGGGGAUGAUGGAAUAUUCCGUCAACUUUGACGGAAUAUUCCUAACGGCGUUGGUUAGUUUUAACGGUUCCUGUUACUUUUUAACGGAAUAUUCCUAACGGGGUUAAGGGAUUCCGUUAGGGUCCCUGCGCAUGUUGCCCUACCCUUGUGGUGACACCGGCUAGAUUGAUUGAUGAGCUAUGAAUUCAGAUGUACAGACCUCUGUAGGGGUUCCAGCUCAUAUAUUGUUAUUCAUGAACUUAAUUGCACCUGAGUUACUUAUUUCGUUUUAUAUUUGGC
rnacentral:lncRNA from 1 species